UACGUAGGGGGCAAGCGUUGUCCGGAAUCAUUGGGCGUAAAGAGCGUGUAGGCGGCUUGGCAAGUCUGGUGUGAAAUCUUGCGGCUCAACCGCAAGCGGUCACUGGAAACUGCCUCGCUAGAGUCCGGAAGAGGAGAGCGGAAUUCCUGGUGUAGCGGUGGAAUGCGCAGAUAUCAGGAAGAACACCCGUGGCGAAGGCGGCUCUCUGGGCCUUACCUGACGCUGAGGAGCGAAAGCGUGGGUAGCGAACAGG
rnacentral:rRNA from 1 species